UUAAGAUAUAAGGCUAAUCCAUAAAACAUUAACAAUACUAUGCAUAAUAUUAAGUUGUUAGCCUACCCACUCCGAAAAGUUACCCAUUUUCACCCUGUCGGCGUUGUGUAGGCCUACUGUGUAUCUCUUUUUCUUCGCUGCUGGCCCUGACUUUGAUUGUAGGCCUAUAUCCUCCUCCGUCUUGCGCCCCAUUUUAUCAAACCGAAAUUUCUUUUUUACUACUGUAGGCUAACCUCUCCAAUCUGUUGCCUACCCGCACGCACUCACUCUCUUGGACAUGCUUGCUGCACGCGGCCGGUAGUUGCUAGGUGAUGCUGAUGGUUAAGGUAAACUUUUGUUUCGCAGGUCUGCAUUACAACCAAUCAAAUAAGCGCAUGCCUGCCUCCGACAGCAGGAUACAAUUAAGAUGAAAAAAAUAGUAGGAUUGCAGGAGUGGAACGUAGGUUUUAUUGAAAGUGAAACUAGGGAAUACAUAAAAAAAAUAGAAGUG